rnacentral:rRNA from 1 species
AACCCGGUGAUCUAGCCAUGGGCAGGUUGAAGGUUGGGUAACACUAACUGGAGGACCGAACCGACUAAUGUUGAAAAAUUAGCGGAUGACUUGUGGCUGGGGGUGAAAGGCCAAUCAAACCGGGAGAUAGCUGGUUCUCCCCGAAAGCUAUUUAGGUAGCGCCUCGUGAACUCAUCUUCGGGGGUAGAGCACUGUUUCGACUAGGGGGUCAUCCCGACUUACCAACUCGAUGCAAACUACGAAUACCGAAGAAUGUUAUCACGGGAGACACACGGCGGGUGCUAACGUUCGUCGUGAAGAGGGAAACAACCCAGACCGCCAGCUAAGGUCCCAAAGUCAUAGUUAAGUGGGAAACGAAGUGGGAAGGCUCAGACAGCCAGGAUGUUGGCUUAGAAGCAGCCAUCAUUUAAAGAAAGCGUAAUAGCUCACUGGUCGAGUCGGCCUGCGCGGAAGAUGUAACGGGGCUAAACUAUGCACCGAAGCUGCGGCAGCGAUAUGUAAAUAUUGUUGGGUAGGGGAGCGU